CUAUAUGAGCGCUCUCCAAAUUCGGCACACCCGAGCACACCAGGGCCUCGCUCGCGUUCACUUCCUCAAGGACGACAGUGACGCCGCCUACAAAGAAAUGACGAAAUUGAUAGAGAAGGCUAAGAACAACGCCUCGGCGUACGAGAAGCGAUCAGAGUACUGCCGCCAUGAACUCACGGCCGCAGAUCUUGAGACGGCAACUCAGCUGGAUCCACUGCGGGUUUAUCCUUACCGGUACCGCGCGGCAGGUCGUCUCCCUCCCCUCAUCUUUUGAAUCCAUCCAUCCUCCGGUUGGUUGACCUAUCCUGGAUCUGACAAAAACGAGGGGUUUCCUCCGAUCUGCGACACGGGAACGGAACAGUGUUGAUGGACGCCCGCAAGGAGAAGGAGGCCAUUGCAGAACUGAC
rnacentral:lncRNA from 1 species